AAUAAGCCUAGUUAAAGCGGCAACACUUCUAUCUAUGGACGAGGCCUCAAACAAGGAACCAGGAAUGCCCUGUACAGCCUCUGAAUUCCCCAAGAGAAGGAACAGAAUAACGGGGAACUAGGACCAGCUAGAUUCUGUUCUCUGGCUUUUCAUGCUUGGAGGUUACCCGUAUAAUUGUGAGCCAGUGAGAACACAAUAAAAGUCAUCAUAAAUUCAGGAUCACAUGGCAUCUAGGUCUGAUGUUCCUUCUUUUACCAUUAUUAAGACGAUAAUAAGCAUGUUUACAUUUUUAUAAUAAUUUUGCACUAUGCAUAGACAGCCUAAUUCUCUGUUGUGCUUAAGCCCCUUUAUGUUGAUUUUGGUUGAUUUGAAUAAAGGAUCCUUAAACCAGAAGGCAGCAAUCACUUCCAGGGACUGCCCCCGGUGUGAGAAGAUUCCCUGGCCAGCUAGAGGUGUCAGAAAGACUUACACCAAGCUCCUCUCUGGUCCCCAGUGCAGGAAUUCAAAGUGAUUAGGGAAAAAUGGAAGAAUUCAUGCUGCAGGACAGGUCUGAACAAAGAAGAGCAGAACAUGCAGGGAGACGCUCAUUUACUGCUUGCUGCUGCCGUUUCUGGAAAGUACAUGUUCCAGUUGCAGUUUCCUAUGGAACGUCUUUACCAAUGAAGAGACCAUCAGGAUCUAACUGCUGUAUCUGGAAACCCUUGGGGGAGAGAGGCACAUUUCUAGCUUGUCAUUCUGCCUGGAUGAGAUUGGAGGCUCAUUACCGAAUUAGAAUAUUAUAAACCUAACAACACACAGCUAAAUUUCAGGUUUCCAAAGUCAUUCUUCAUAACUCCCCCUCUCCCACCCCCUCCCCCACCCAAUAGACUGCAGCCCCUUUGUCAGAUAAACUUUCUAAAGAACAGCACUGAAGAGGAAGGCAGGAGGGAAAGAGCAGCAGAGUGGAGUGAUUAGAAAAUGGAACAGGUUCUCAUUGGGGUGCAGAGCAUGUACGAAUUACUCGAGACAUUAUGGAUGACAGGCAUCAUUUCAUCCUGGAUCCCACCGUGACUGUAAACUUGCUCAUCUGUGCAUUUGCUACAGGCCUAGAAUAUUUUACAGUUCAAGUUAUCCUAAGCACCGUUAUUUCCUCCUUUUUCUCAAGAAGGCUCUGGAAUAGACACCUGAUCAAGAAGACCACUGUACCCAUUUUUCCUUCAUGAUGGAACUGCCUAUUAUCGCUGGCUUGAGGAAUUGGUGGUGGACUACAGCGCUGUACGUCACUAGUUCAACUGUGACGCCAUUCAGCAUGAAUAAAAAUUGGUGAAUUAUGAGAAUGGAAUGGAUC
rnacentral:lncRNA from 1 species